rnacentral:rRNA from 1 species
GCGCAGCAGUCGCGAAAACUCCGCAAUACGCGAAAGCGUGACGGGGCUACCCCGAGUGUCGUCCGCUGAGGACGACUUUUCCACGCUGUAAGGAGGCGUGGGAAUAAGGAGAGGGCAAGUCUGGUGUCAGCCGCCGCGGUAAUACCAGCUCUCCGAGUGGUAGGGACGAUUAUUGGGCUUAAAGCGUCCGUAGCCGGCUCAGCAAGUCUCCCGUUAAAUCCAGCGAUUCAAUCGUUGGAUUGCGAGGGAUACUGUUCGGCUAGGGGGUGAGAGAGGCCAACGGUAUUCCCGGGGUAGGGGUGAAAUCCUAUAAUCCCGGGAGGACCACCAGUGGCGAAGGCGGCCGGCCAAAACGCGCCCGACGGUGAGGGACGAAAGCUGGGGGAGCGAACGGGAUUAGAUACCCCGGUAGUCC